rnacentral:rRNA from 1 species
UGAGGAAUAUUGGUCAAUGGGCGCAAGCCUGAACCAGCCAUCCCGCGUGCAGGAAGACGGCCCUAUGGGUUGUAAACUGCUUUUCCAGGGGGAGAAUUUUUCUGUCGUGACAGGAAUUGACGGUACCCUGGGAAUAAGCAUCGGCUAACUCCGUGCCAGCAGCCGCGGUAAUACGGAGGAUGCGAGCGUUAUCCGGAUUUAUUGGGUUUAAAGGGUGCGUAGGCGGAUUGAUAAGUCAGUGGUGAAAACCUGCAGCUUAACUGUAGACUUGCCGUUGAUACUGUCAGUCUUGAGUGUGGUCAAGGUAGGCGGAAUGUGUAAUGUAGCGGUGAAAUGCUUAGAUAUUACACAGAACACCGAUUGCGAAUGCAGCUUACUGGGCCAUUACUGACGCUGAUGCACGAAAGCGUGGGG